rnacentral:rRNA from 1 species
GACGAACGCUGGCGGCGUGCUUAACACAUGACAGUCGAACGGAAAGGCCCUGCUUUUGUGGGGUGCUCGAGUGGCGAACGGGUGAGUAACACGUGAGUAACCUGCCCUUGACUUUGGGAUAACUUCAGGAAACUGGGGCUAAUACCGGAUAGGAGCUCCUGCUGCAUGGUGGGGGUUGGAAAGUUUCGGCGGUUGGGGAUGGACUCGCGGCUUAUCAGCUUGUUGGUGGGGUAGUGGCUUACCAAGGCUUUGACGGGUAGCCGGCCUGAGAGGGUGACCGGCCACAUUGGGACUGAGAUACGGCCCAGACUCCUACGGGAGGCAGCAGUGGGGAAUAUUGCACAAUGGGCGGAAGCCUGAUGCAGCAACGCCGCGUGCGGGAUGACGGCCUUCGGGUUGUAAACCGCUUUCGCCUGUGACGAAGCGUGAGUGACGGUAAUGGGUAAAGAAGCACCGGCUAACUACGUG